CCUCCCGGGCGGAGGAAUGGCUCCCACGUGGGCCCAGGCCAGCGUUUGGAGAGCAGCAGUGGUGAGGAGAGGGGGAAAGAGAAAGCAGUGCUGCUCACCAAGGGGCGGGUUCCAAUAACACUGACGAAGAACUUUUCCUAGAGGACAGUGGCUAAGGGGAACACGUGGCGGCCUAGUGGUGUGGGACCUGGAAAUGAAGGUUUUGAGGAGGAUGCUUUAGAAAUCCAGCCCAAAUGGAGAUCACCUUACCUGCAUGCUGAAACUGAAGGAAGGGAUUGCUAGGAAAUCCAGGAGGAAUGGAUCCAACAGACAUCAGACAGAUGUUUGGCAUUUUCUGAAUAUGGCUGUUUUCACUCAAAGUUUAAGAAACAUGGGGAAGAGAAGUGACGACUGUACUGAGAAGUCAAGGAGUCAGAUUAUGGAUGUACCUCUGCCAUUAACCAGGGAUUCAGACAGAAAAACCCGCCCCAGGAAGAUCUGAAGAUGCUGCCUUAUCCUGGUUUGAAUUCACUGUGGCAAAAGGAGGGCUUCAGGCAGGUGCCUGUCAGCUAGACCCCCCUGUGUCCCAUUGUCUCUGAGUCACGAGGGGGA